rnacentral:rRNA from 1 species
UACGUAGGGGGCGAGCGUUAUCCGGAUUCAUUGGGCGUAGAGUGCGCGUAGGCGGCCGCCUAAGCGGAACCUCUAACCCCGGGGCUCAACCUCGGGCCGGGUUCCGGACUGGGCGGCUCGAGUGCGGUAGAGGAGAGCGGAAUUCCCGGUGUAGCGGUGGAAUGCGCAGAUAUCGGGAAGAACACCGAUGGCGAAGGCAGCUCUCUGGGCCGUCACUGACGCUGAGGCGCGAAAGCUGGGGGAGCGAACAGG